ACUUGGAUAAAUAUAUGAUGUCCUACAAAAAGAGGAUCUGUAGACAGUAUUUCACACCUUUCCCUAAGUAUCCAGGACAACAUGAACUCUCUCGUACUUUUCCUCGGAGUCACCCUUUUAGCUUUAUGUGAAGCUCGUCCAACUGUACAUAAAGUCACUUCAAAACUGAUAACACACGUUUAUAAAUUCAGAGAAAAAGUCACAGGCCAUGAUGGACGACCUAAAGAUAGAAGAGAUAAAAAUGGACUUGGAUUAA